AACGAACGCUGGCGGCACGCCUAACACAUGCAAGUCGAGCGCCCAGCAAUGGGAGCGGCGGACGAGUGAGUAACACGUGGGAACAUGCCUUUUGGUUCGGCACAACUCAGGGAAACUUGAGCUAAUUCCGGAUACGCCCGUAAGGGGAAAGAUUUAUCGCCAAAAGAUUGGCCCGCGUAAGAUUAGCUAGUUGGUGGGGUAAUGGCUCACCAAGGCAACGAUCUUUAGCUGGUUUGAGAGAACGACCAGCCACGUUGGGACUGAGACACGGCCCAAACUCCUACGGGAGGCAGCAGUGGGGAAUCUUGGACAAUGGGGGAAACCCUGAUCCAGCGAUGCCGCGUGAGUGAUGAAGGCCUUCGGGUUGUAAAACUCUUUCGACGGGGACGAUAAUGACGGUACCCGUAGAAGAAGCUCCGGCUAACUUCGUGCCAGCAGCCGCAGUAAAAC
rnacentral:rRNA from 1 species